UUCCGUAAAAACGGAAGUAGACUGUAUGCUUGAUGGCUCACAAAAACAUUCCGCGCACAGAAAAGCACAAAGGUUUGAAUAACUAACAAAAUAUUCCGCAAACACAAAAGCACAAAGGUUUGGAUGACUCACAAAAAUAUUCCGCAAACACGCAAAAAAACAAAGGUUAUAUCCAGCUACAUAAAACCCGUCAGUGUUCGCCUUGUAAGCAAUUCUCUGGACCUAAUUUUCGUCAGUAUUGGAAUUCAGUGCAGAAUUUUGUUUUGACACAAACAAUUACGCAAAGUAACUAUAAAUGUUGAGAAAAAUUUAUAGAAAUUUAGUUUUAGUAGAAGCUUCACGAUUUCCGAGUUGAAAGAUAAAGUAAACUAUAAUUUUUUAGAGGGGGC